rnacentral:tRNA from 1 species
GGCUGUAGCUCAGUUGGGAGAGCACCUGGUUUUGCAACCAGGAGGUCACCGGUUCGAACCCGGUCAGCUCCACCC